rnacentral:rRNA from 1 species
UACGGGGGAGCAAGCGUUGGUUCGGAUUUACUGGGCGUAAAGGGCGCGGUAGGCGGUCAGCACAAGUCAGUUGUGAAAUCUCCGGGCUUAAACUCCGGGAAAGGUCAACUGAUACUGUGCGACUAGAGUGCAGAAGGGGCAACUGGGAAUUCUCGGUGUAGCGGUGAAAUGCGUAGAUAUCGAAGAGGAACACCUGCGGCGAAGGCGGCUCACUGGUCCGGUACUGACGCUGAGGUGCGAAAGCGUGGGGAGCAAACAGG